rnacentral:lncRNA from 1 species
GUUUAGAGCAAGUAUAGUUCAUCAGAUUCUUGAAAGCCUGAUUGAAAUAACCCCUGAGCACAAUCCAGUUGCAUUUGAUUUUAUUUUUGUCGAGGUACCUCUGCUUGUUAAUUCAAUUUUUUAAGAGCACAAGAGAGGGAGGGAUGGAAGGUUGAUGCCAAAAGAGCGGUAAUUAUUCCCUUUCCUGUAACCUGUAUGUGACUUGGCAACUCAUCUUGUCAGUAGCUAGAGACUAUUAAGCCCUCUAAUGGAGGCUGGCUUGUGACUUUCUGUGUCCACAGAAUGUGGUGGAAGCCAUGAUGUGCCUCUUCUAAGCAUAGGUUCUCAAGAGGCUUUAAGUACUCUCUCUCUGUCUGUCGCUCUGUCUGAACAUUGCACAGCCACGAUGGAAACGCACCCAGGCAACUUGCUCAGUGAUGAGAAACAAGGCCCAUUUACUUGUACAGCUCUGGCUGAUGGCUGGACCAUACUAGCCAUGUGUUAGAUCAGCCAGCCCGAGUGGCCCAACCACCAGGUGAGCAUGAGUGCCUGAGCGAGCCCAGGAGAGAGCAGCUGAGCUUCUCCCAGAUCCCAGAAUUGCCCUGCUGCCCUAGAUGUGUGAGCAAAAACAAAUGCUAAUUGUCUGAAGUCUUUGAGUGUGGGCGUGGUUGUUAUACAGCAAUAGCUAACUGAUACACGAUGGUUCCCAGCAACAGUAUGAUAAUUAAUAGAAAAAAACCUUUCCCACUAUUAUAAAUAAAGGAAUACAAAUGAAAAUAUUACAAAUGAAAAACAAUAAUCACACCUUGGCAUUCUGGUUUGUGUUUUAGGGUCUUCCAAGCUAGUGAGUAUGGAAUCCCCUGAGAACCUGAGGAGCUCUAAAUACGCAAAGUUUCGUUUCUAGACUUGAAUAAUGGAAGAUCAGACCUAGACAACUGGAACUGGGUUUUUAAAACACUCCCGCCUGGGAUGCCCAGCAUGACUGCACGGAGACAGCCAAAUGUCUCUCUUAUGAAUAAAGUCUCUGAAUUGAAACCUGGCAGCGAGGGUUUCCGGGGGUCUCAUCUGGUGCUGAAGAUGAUCGGCUCCCCCAGUCAAGGAGGAAGGAAUCCCCUCGACCCAGCACCCAGACGAACCUGUGUGAGGAGACAGAGCCCGAGAUCCAUCCUGUCCUCACAGACAAUCAAGGUGCGUGCUGGAAACGGUGAGACUGUAUUUUCUAGACUUGCUCUGUUUGCUGAAAACCGGAAGAGGCCAGGAAAUUGCUUCAUGUACGUGAAGGUAUGAGAAA